AAAAUACCGGUACAAGCGGAGAAGGAGUCUGGUUGGCAAAUCCGCCAGGCAAUCCGAAGACGUGAUGUGGAGCGAAUUAGAGUAGCGAAGCGUGUGAGCCAUGUGCCGAGAAAAGCCGCUAUUGUUUCAUGUGUGCCCGUACCGUAAGCCGACACAGGUGGAUGAGGAGAGAAUCCUAAGGCCGGCGGAAGAAGCAUUGUUAAGGAACUCGGCAAAAUGACCCCGUAACUUCGGGAGAAGGGGUGCCUGCUAACGCAGGCCGCAGAGAAUAGGCCCAAGCAACUGUUUAGCAAAAACACAGGUCUAUGCGAAACCGAAAGGUGAAGUAUAUGGGCUGACGCCUGCCCGGUGCUGGAAGGUUAAGAGGAGAGGUUAGCGCAAGCGAAGCUUUGAAUUUAAGCCCCAGUAAACGGCGGCCGUAACAAUAACGGUCCUAAGGUAGCGAAAUUCCUUGUCGGGUAAGUUCCGACCCGCACGAAAGGCGUAAUGAUUUGAGCACUGUCUCGACAAUGCAUCCGGUGAAAUUGAAGUACCAGUGAAGAUGCUGGUUACCCGCGCCAGGACGGAAAGACCCCAUGGAGCUUUACUCCAGUUUGGUACUGGGAUUCGGUACUGCAUGUACAGGAUAGGUGGGAGACUAAGAACUUGGGACGCCAGUUUCAAGGGAGUCGCUGUUGGGAUACCACCCUUGCAGUAUUGGAUUUCUAACCAGCCGCCGUGAUCCGGCGGUGGGACAAUGCCAGGCGGGGAGUUUGACUGGGGCGGUCGCCUCCGAAAGGGUAUCGGAGGCGCUCAAAGGUUCCCUCAGAAUGGUUGGAAACCAUUUGAAGAGUGCAAAGGCAGAAGGGAGCUUGACUGCGACACCGACGGGUGGAGCAGGUAGGAAACUAGGACUUAGUGAUCCGGUGGCAUAAAGUGGGAUUGCCAUCGCUCAACGGAUAAAAGCUACCCUGGGAUAACAGGCUUAUCACUCCCAAGAGUUCACAUCGACGGAGUGGUUUGGCACCUCGAUGUCGGCUCAUCGCAUCCUGGGGCUGUAGCAGGUCCCAAGGGUUGGGCUGUUCGCCCAUUAAAGCGGUACGCGAGCUGGGUUCAGAACGUCGUGAGACAGUUCGGUCCCUAUCCGGCGCGGGCGGAGGAUAUUUGAGAGGAGCUGCCCUUAGUACGAGAGGACCGGGAUGGACGGACCACUGGUGUAUCUGCUGUCGACCAACGGCAUGGCAGAGUAGCCAAGUCCGGAAGGGAUAAACGCUGAAGGCAUCUAAGCGUGAAGCCCCCCUCAAGAUGAGAUAUCCCUCACAUAAGUGAGUAAGAUCCCUUGAAGACUACAAGGUAGAUAGGGCAGAGGUGGAAGCACGGUAACGUGUGGAGCUGACUGUUACUAAUCGAUCGAGGGCUUGACC
rnacentral:rRNA from 1 species